rnacentral:rRNA from 1 species
GUGAGGAAUAUUGGUCAAUGGGCGAGAGCCUGAACCAGCCAAGUCGCGUGAAGGAUGAAGGUUUUAUGAAUUGUAAACUUCUUUUGCAGGGGAGUAAAGUACGGUACGUGUACCGUUUUGUAUGUACUCUGCGAAUAAGGAUCGGCUAACUCCGUGCCAGCAGCCGCGGUAAUACGGAGGAUCCGAGCGUUAUCCGGAUUUAUUGGGUUUAAAGGGUGCGUAGGUGGAUUGAUAAGUCAGCGGUGAAAGUUUGCAGCUUAACUGUAAAAUUGCCGUUGAAACUGUCGGUCUUGAGUGCAAAUGAGGUAGGCGGAAUGUGUUGUGUAGCGGUGAAAUGCUUAGAUAUAACACAGAACUCCGAUUGCGAAGGCAGCUUACUGGGAUGCAACUGACACUGAUGCACGAAAGCGUGGGUAUCAAACAGGAUUAGAAACCCCGGUAGUCC